GAUGAACGCUGGCGGUAUGCUUAACACAUGCAAGUCGAACGGGACUCCUCGGAGUUCAGUGGCGGACGGGUGAGUAAAGCGUGAGAAUCUGGCCUUUGGUUCGGGACAACCACUGGAAACGGUGGCUAACACCGGAUAUGCCUGAGGGUGAAAAAUUCAUUGCCAAAGGGGGAGCUCGCGUCUGAUUAGCUAGUUGGUAGGGUAAGAGCCUACCAAGGCGACGAUCAGUAGCUGGUCUGAGAGGACGAUCAGCCACACUGGGACUGAGACACGGCCC
rnacentral:rRNA from 1 species